rnacentral:rRNA from 1 species
ACGGAUGGUCAUGCGUCGCAUUAGCUAGUUGGCGGGGUAACGGCCCACCAAGGCGACGAUGCGUAGGGGUUCUGAGAGGAAGGUCCCCCACACUGGUACUGAGACACGGACCAGACUCCUACGGGAGGCAGCAGUGAGGAAUAUUGGUCAAUGGCCGCAGGGCUGAACCAGCCAAGUCGCGUGAGGGAUGACGGUCCUAUGGAUUGUAAACCUCUUUUGUCAGGGAGCAAAGGGCGCCACGUGUGGCGCUUUGCGAGUACCUGAAGAAAAAGCAUCGGCUAACUCCGUGCCAGCAGCCGCGGUAAUACGGAGGAUGCGAGCGUUAUCCGGAUUUAUUGGGUUUAAAGGGUGCGCAGGCGGAAUGUCAAGUCAGCGGUAAAAUUUCGGGGCUCAACCCCGUCGUGCCGUUGAAACUGGCGUUCUUGAGUGAGCGAGAAGUAUGCGGAAUGCGUGGUGUAGCGGUGAAAUGCAUAGAUAUCACGCAGAGCUCCGAUUGCGAAGGCAGCAUACCGGCGCUCAACUGACGCUCAUGCACGAAAGCGUGGGUAUCGAACAGGAUUAGAUACCCUGGUAGUCCACGCAGUAAACGAUGAAUACUAACUGUCCGGGCAGAAUGAUGCCUGG